rnacentral:rRNA from 1 species
UCAAUAAAGGUGUUCCUGCCCAUGGUUUAUAAAUAAAGAAUAAAAGUACUAUAAUUAAACUAAAAGGACGCGGUAUCCUGACCGUGAUAAUGUAGCAUAAUCAUUCGCCAUUUAAUUGAUGGAUAGUAUGAAUGGUAUAACGAAUACAUCACUGUCUCAAAAAAAAUUCUUAUGAAAUUAGAAUAAUAGUAAAGAUACUAUUUAAGACUGUAAGACGAGAAGACCCUAUAGAGCUUAACUAUAACUCUUUACAAUAGUAUAAAUUUAUUUAUGCUGUCAAAGAGAUAGGUAGUUUAGUUGGGGCGACUGCUUUCUAAAAUUAACGAAAGUAAGCAAUAUUAAUAAUUUAAUUUACUGUUUAAUUUAUAAAUUUAACAGUUAUAAAAAUAGGCUAUAAUGACCCGUUAUUUAUAAGUAAUAACAAUAACGAUCAGUAAAUAAAAGCUACCUUAGGGAUAACAGGAUAAUCUGUCUAGAGAUCUAUCGAACAGUAUCACCUCGAUGUGAUAUG